rnacentral:piRNA from 1 species
UNGAGGUCAAAUCCCCAGUGUGCAGGUAA